UACAGAGGUCCCAAGCGUUGUUCGGAUUCACUGGGCGUAAAGGGUGCGUAGGUGGUGAGGUAAGUCGAGUGUGAAAGCCCCGGGCUUAACUUGGGAAUUGCGCUCGAAACUAUGGUGCUGGAGUGUGGCAGAGGAAGGUGGAAUUCCACGUGUAGCGGUGAAAUGCGUAGAGAUGUGGAGGAACACCGAUGGCGAAGGCAGCCUUCUGGGCCAACACUGACGCUCAUGCACGAAAGCGUGGGGAGCAAACAGG
rnacentral:rRNA from 1 species